rnacentral:rRNA from 1 species
UACGUAGGCAGCGAGCGUUGUUCGGAGUUACUGGGCGUAAAGCGUGCGUAGGCGGUGUCUUAAGUUUGUUGUGAAAUCUCCCGGCUUAACCGGGAGGGUGCGGCGAAUACUGAGAUGCUGGAGUGCCGGAGAGGUAAGCGGAAUUCCUGGUGUAGCGGUGAAAUGCGUAGAUAUCAGGAGGAACACCUGCGGUGUAGACGGCUUACUGGACGGUAACUGACGCUGAGGCACGAAAGCGUGGGCAGCAAACAGG